AUUCCAUUUAUUAUCCGCACCCCCCAUAUGGAUGAGCGGAUUCCUAUGGGUCAGAUAUUGGGAAUUAGCUGAUUCCUUGGGCCGAUUCCUAGUGGUCAGAUAUUGGGAAUUGGCCACAGACUCGUCGAUUCCAACGGGGUACUUCUCUGAAAUCCGAUUCCUACAGGUAAAAUUUUGACCAGAUCUUAUCCAUGAGGGGGGAAUGACACUGUUUUUCAGCAUCUGGCAUCACAAGAUUUACACAUUCCGAGGGUUUAGGUGUAUAUCGUCGAUUCCAACGGGGUACUUCUCUGAAAUCCGAUUCCUACAGGUAAAAUUUUGACUAGAGCUCAUCCAUAGGGGGGGUGCGGAAAAUAAAUGGAAUGACCCAU